UUUGAAUGAUGAAGUAUUUACUACUGAUUUAGGGCCAAAAUUUAAUUUUUUUGUUAAAAAAAAAUUAAACUUGUAAUAUGCAUUAUUACACUAAAAAAUGAUGGCUUAAUCUUCUCACUGACAAAA
rfam:Plasmodium berghei strain K173 genome assembly, chromosome: 6